CCUUAGAAGAUGAGAUCGAUGGUAUUUCAAGUGGACAAGAUGAGACACUGACGGGAAAAGAAGCUUUGCCCUCCGAACAGGAAGCCUAGGCUCUAGACUGGGUAUCUCUUAAAAUUUUUCAAAGACUGGAAGAAGUAUCCCGAGGAGGAAGACAGGAUCCUGGG